CCGGCUAACUACGUGCCAGCAGCCGCGGUAAUACGUAGGGCGCAAGCGUUAUCCGGAAUUAUUGGGCGUAAAGAGCUCGUAGGCGGUUUGUCGCGUCUGCUGUGAAACCCCGAGGCUCAACCUCGGGCCUGCAGUGGGUACGGGCAGACUAGAGUGCGGUAGAGGAGAUUGGAAUUCCUGGUGUAGCGGUGGAAUGCGCAGAUAUCAGGAGGAACACCGAUGGCGAAGGCAGAUCUCUGGGCCGUAACUGACGCUGAGGAGCGAAAGGGUGGGGAGCAAACAGGCUUAGAUACCCUGGUAGUCCACCCCGUAAACGUUGGGAACUAGUUGUGGGGUCCAUUCCACGGAUUCCGUGACGCAGCUAACGCAUUAAGUUCCCCGCCUGGGGAGUACGGCCGCAAGGUUGAAACUCAAAGAAAUUGACGGGGGCCCGCACAAGCGGUGGAGCAUGUGGUUUAAUUCGAUG
rnacentral:rRNA from 1 species